UACGAAGGUUGCAAGCGUUACUCGGAAUUACUGGGCGUAAAGCGUGCGUAGGUGGUUGUUUAAGUCUGUUGUGAAAGCCCUGGGCUCAACCUGGGAACUGCAGUGGAAACUGGACAACUAGAGUGUGGUAGAGGGUAGCGGAAUUCCCGGUGUAGCAGUGAAAUGCGUAGAGAUCGGGAGGAACAUCCAUGGCGAAGGCAGCUACCUGGACCAACACUGACACUGAGGCACGAAAGCGUGGGGAGCAAACAGG
rnacentral:rRNA from 1 species